rnacentral:rRNA from 1 species
GAUGAACGCUGGCGGCGUGCCUAAUACAUGCCAGUCGAGCGAACAGAUGAGGAGCUUGCUCCUCUGACGUUAGCGGCGGACGGGUGAGUAACACGUGGAUAACCUACCUAUAAGACUGGGAUAACUUCGGGAAACCGGAGCUAAUACCGGAUAAUAUAUUGAACCGCAUGGUUCAAUAGUGAAAGACGGUUUUGCUGUCACUUAUAGAUGGAUCCGCGCCGCAUUAGCUAGUUGGUAAGGUAACGGCUUACCAAGGCAACGAUGCGUAGCCGACCUGAGAGGGUGAUCGGCCACACUGGAUCUGAGACACGGUCCAGACUCCUACGGGAGGCAGCAGUAGGGAAUCGUCCGCAAUGGGCGAAAGCCUGACGGAGCAACGCCGCGUGAGUGAUGAAGGUCUUCGGAUCGUAAAACUCUGUUAUUAGGGAAGAACAAAUGUGUAAGUAACUAUGCACGUCUUGACGGUACCUAAUCAGAAAGCCACGGCUAACUACGUG